rfam:Schistosoma margrebowiei strain Zambia genome assembly, scaffold: SMRZ_contig0000439
AUCUAGCUGAUGAGUUUCAAAUUGGAUGAAACGCAUGUUCUAGAU